rnacentral:rRNA from 1 species
CCUACGGGUGGCAGCAGUGAGGAAUAUUGGUCAAUGGCCGUAAGGCUGAACCAGCCAAGUCGCGUGAGGGAAGACGGCCCUAUGUGUUGUAAACCUCUUUUGUACGGGAGUAAAGGUCUCCACGUGUGGAUGUUGGCCCGUACCGCAUGAAUAAGGACCGGCUAAUUCCGGGCCAGAGGCCGCGGUAAUACGGAGGGUCCGGGCGUUAUCAGGAGUUAUUGGGUUUAAAGGGCGCGUAGGCAGGUGUUUAAGGGUGACGGGAAAGUUUGUGGCUUAACCACGAGACUGCGGUGCAAACUGGAGACCUUGAGUGCGCGGAAGGUAGGCGGAAUUCGUGGUGUAGCGGUGAAAUGCGUAGAUAUCACGAAGAACCCCGAUUGCGAAGGCAGCUUGCCGGAGUGUGACUGACGCUGAAGCUCGAAAGCGUGGGUAGCGAACAGGAUUAGAUACCCCUGUAGUC